rnacentral:misc_RNA from 1 species
GUCCACAACUCGCUAUGUUCUGAGCCAGUCGAGUUGAAGAAGAAGUAUUUUUUGAUUAUCGUGGUGCAGAGACGGAGAGAAGAUAUUACAAAGGGUGGCAGAAAGAAAGAAGAGAAGAGAAGAGAGCUAAUGGGCUUUUAAAAAAAAGCUGAGAAAUUGUUUGGGCGAAGGAUACGGUACUAAUAACCGAGAGAGAGAAAGAUAGCAACGGCGAAGGCUUGUGUUUGCGGGUAGGUAAGCUGUCCCGUAAUUUGAGGUAGUUU